UGUUGCAUGGCUGUCGUCAGCUCGUGUCGUGAGAUGUUGGGUUAAGUCCCGCAACGAGCGCAACCCUCAUCCUUAGUUGCUAUCAGGUAAUGCUGAGUACUUUAAGGAAACUGCCAGUGAUAAGCUGGAGGAAGGUGGGGAUGAUGUCAAGUCAUCAUGGCCUUUAUGGAGUGGGCUACACACGUGCUACAAUGGUGUCUACAAUGGGCUGCAAGGUGCGCAAGCCUAAGCUAAUCCCUAAAAGACAUCUCAGUUCGGAUUGUACUCUGCAACUCGAGUACAUGAAGUUGGAAUCGCUAGUAAUCGUGGAUCAGCAUGCCACGGUGAAUACGUUCUCGGGUC
rnacentral:rRNA from 1 species